rnacentral:tRNA from 1 species
CUGGGCGUGGCAAAUGGUGAAUGUGCUUGGCUGCUAACCAAGAGGUUGGAAGUUUGAGUCCCCCCAGA